UACGGAGGGUGCGAGCGUUGUCCGGAAUCAUUGGGCGUAAAGGGCGCGUAGGUGGCGCGGCAAGCGUGCGGUGAAAGCUCGGGGCUCAACCCCGAGUCGGCCGUGCGAACUGCUGUGCUUGAGCACUGUAGAGGCAGGCGGAAUUCCGGGUGUAGCGGUGGAAUGCGUAGAGAUCCGGAAGAACACCGGUGGCGAAGGCGGCCUGCUGGGCAGUGGCUGACACUGAGGAGCGAAAGCGUGGGGAGCGAACAGG
rnacentral:rRNA from 1 species